rnacentral:rRNA from 1 species
CCUACGGGUGGCAGCAGUGAGGAAUAUUGGUCAAUGGACGAGAGUCUGAACCAGCCAAGUAGCGUGAAGGAUGACUGCCCUAUGGGUUGUAAACUUCUUUUAUAAAGGAAUAAAACGAGGCACGUGUGCCUUUUUGCAUGUACUUUAUGAAAAAGGAUCGGCUAACUCCGGGCCAGCAGCCGCGGUAAUACGGAGGAUCCGAGCGUUAUCCGGAUUUAUUGGGUUUAAAGGGAGCGUAGAUGGGUUGUUAAGUCAGUUGUGAAAGGUUGCGGCUCAACCGUAAAAUUGCAAUUGAUACUGGCAGUCUUGAGUACAGUUGAGGUAAGCGGAAUUCGUGGUGUAGCGGUGAAAUGCUUAGAUAUCACGAAGAACCCCGAUUGCGAAGGCAGCUUACUAAACUGUGACUGACAUUGAUGCUCGAAAGUGUGGGUAUCAAACAGGAUUAGAUACCCGAGUAGUC